rnacentral:tRNA from 1 species
GGCGGCGUGGCCUAAUGGUAAGGCGUUGCUUUCCGGCUUUUGUCUGGCAAAGACUGUGGGUUCGAGUCCCAUCGCCGUCG